rnacentral:rRNA from 1 species
AACGAACGCUGGCGGCAUGCCUAACACAUGCAAGUCGAACGAUCCCUUCGGGGAUAGUGGCGCACGGGUGCGUAACGCGUGGGAACCUGCCCUUAGGUUCGGAAUAACUCAGAGAAAUUUGAGCUAAUACCGGAUAAUGUCUUCGGACCAAAGAUUUAUCGCCUUUGGAUGGGCCCGCGUUGGAUUAGCUAGUUGGUAGGGUAAAGGCCUACCAAGGCGACGAUCCAUAGCUGGUCUGAGAGGAUGAUCAGCCACACUGGGACUGAGACACGGCCCAGACUCCUACGGGAGGCAGCAGUGGGGAAUAUUGGACAAUGGGCGAAAGCCUGAUCCAGCAAUGCCGCGUGAGUGAUGAAGGACUUAGGGUUGUAAAGCUCUUUUACCCGGGAUGAUAAUGACAGUACCGGGAGAAUAAGCCCCGGCUAACUCCGUG